rnacentral:rRNA from 1 species
CGGGAGGCAGCAGUGGGGAAUAUUGCACAAUGGGCGCAAGCCUGAUGCAGCCAUGCCGCGUGUAUGAAGAAGGCCUUCGGGUUGUAAAGUACUUUCAGCAGGGAGGAAGGUGUUGUGGUUAAUAACCGCAGCAAUUGACGUUACCCGCAGAAGAAGCACCGGCUAACUCCGUG